rnacentral:rRNA from 1 species
AGAUUAAGUUAUUAAGGGCGCACGGUGGAUGCCUUGGCACUAGAAGCCGAUGAAGGACGUUACUAACGACGAUAUGCUUUGGGUAGCUGUAAGUAAGCGUUGAUCCAGAGAUUUCCGAAUGGGGGAACCCAGCAUGAGUUAUGUCAUGUUAUCGACAUGUGAAUUCAUAGCAUGUCAGAAGGCAGACCCGGAGAACUGAAACAUCUUAGUACCCGGAGGAAGAGAAAGAAAAAUCGAUUCCCUGAGUAGCGGCGAGCGAAACGGGAAUAGCCCAAACCAACAAGCUUGCUUGUUGGGGUUGUAGGACACUCUAUACGGAGUUACAAAAGAACAUGUUAGACGAAUCAUCUGGAAAGAUGAAUCAAAGAAGGUAAUAAUCCUGUAGUCGAAAACAUAUUCUCUCUUGAGUGGAUCCUGAGUACGACGGAGCACGUGAAAUUCCGUCGGAAUCUGGGAGGACCAUCUCCUAAGGCUAAAUACUCUCUAGUGACCGAUAGUGAACCAGUACCGUGAGGGAAAGGUGAAAAGCACCCCGGAAGGGGAGUGAAAGAGAACUUGAAACCGUGUGCUUACAAGUAGUCAGAGCCCGUUAAUGGGUGAUGGCGUGCCUUUUGUAGAAUGAACCGGCGAGUUACGAUCUGAUGCAAGGUUAAGCAGCAAAUGUGGAGCCGCAGCGAAAGCGAGUCUGAAUAGGGCGUUGAGUAUUUGGUCAUAGACCCGAAACCAGGUGAUCUACCCUUGGUCAGGUUGAAGUUCAGGUAACACUGAAUGGAGGACCGAACCGACUUACGUUGAAAAGUGAGCGGAUGAACUGAGGGUAGCGGAGAAAUUCCAAUCGAACUUGGAGAUAGCUGGUUCUCUCCGAAAUAGCUUUAGGGCUAGCCUCAAGUGAUGAUUAUUGGAGGUAGAGCACUGUUUGGACGAGGGGCCCCUCUCGGGUUACCGAAUUCAGACAAACUCCGAAUGCCAAUUAAUUUAACUUGGGAGUCAGAACAUGGGUGAUAAGGUCCGUGUUCGAAAGGGAAACAGCCCAGACCACCAGCUAAGGUCCCAAAAUAUAUGUUAAGUGGAAAAGGAUGUGGCGUUGCCCAGACAACUAGGAUGUUGGCUUAGAAGCAGCCAUCAUUUAAAGAGUGCGUAAUAGCUCACUAGUCGAGUGACACUGCGCCGAAAAUGUAACGGGGCUAAACAUAUUACCGAAGCUGUGGAUUGUCCUUUGGACAAUGGUAGGAGAGCGUUCUAAGGGCGUCGAAGCAUGAUCGCAAGGACAUGUGGAGCGCUUAGAAGUGAGAAUGCCGGUGUGAGUAGCGAAAGACGGGUGAGAAUCCCGUCCACCGAUUGACUAAGGUUUCCAGAGGAAGGCUCGUCCGCUCUGGGUUAGUCGGGUCCUAAGCUGAGGCCGACAGGCGUAGGCGAUGGAUAACAGGUUGAUAUUCCUGUACCACCUAGUAUCGUUUUAAUCGAUGGGGGGACGCAGUAGGAUAGGCGAAGCGUGCUGUUGGAGUGCACGUCCAAGCAGUAAGGCUGAGUGUUAGGCAAAUCCGGCACUCAUAAGGCUGAGCUGUGAUGGGGAGAGGAAAUUGUUUCCUCGAGUCGUUGAUUUCACACUGCCGAGAAAAGCCUCUAGAUAGAUAACAGGUGCCCGUACCGCAAACCGACACAGGUAGUCAAGAUGAGAAUUCUAAGGUGAGCGAGCGAACUCUCGUUAAGGAACUCGGCAAAAUGACCCCGUAACUUCGGGAGAAGGGGUGCUCUUUAGGGUUCACGCCCAGAAGAGCCACAGUGAAUAGGCCCAAGCGACUGUUUAUCAAAAACACAGGUCUCUGCUAAACCGUAAGGUGAUGUAUAGGGGCUGACGCCUGCCCGGUGCUGGAAGGUUAAGAGGAGUGGUUAGCUUCUGCGAAGCUACGAAUCGAAGCCCCAGUAAACGGCGGCCGUAACUAUAACGGUCCUAAGGUAGCGAAAUUCCUUGUCGGGUAAGUUCCGACCCGCACGAAAGGCGUAACGAUUUGGGCACUGUCUCAACGAGAGACUCGGUGAAAUCAUAGUACCUGUGAAGAUGCAGGUUACCCGCGACAGGACGGAAAGACCCCGUGGAGCUUUACUGUAGCCUGAUAUUGAAAUUCGGCACAGCUUGUACAGGAUAGGUAGGAGCCUUUGAAACGUGAGCGCUAGCUUACGUGGAGGCGUUGGUGGGAUACUACCCUAGCUGUGUUGGCUUUCUAACCCGCACCACUUAUCGUGGUGGGAGACAGUGUCAGGCGGGCAGUUUGACUGGGGCGGUCGCCUCCUAAAAGGUAACGGAGGCGCUCAAAGGUUCCCUCAGAAUGGUUGGAAAUCAUUCAUAGAGUGUAAAGGCAUAAGGGAGCUUGACUGCGAGACCUACAAGUCGAGCAGGGUCGAAAGACGGACUUAGUGAUCCGGUGGUUCCGCAUGGAAGGGCCAUCGCUCAACGGAUAAAAGCUACCCCGGGGAUAACAGGCUUAUCUCCCCCAAGAGUUCACAUCGACGGGGAGGUUUGGCACCUCGAUGUCGGCUCAUCGCAUCCUGGGGCUGUAGUCGGUCCCAAGGGUUGGGCUGUUCGCCCAUUAAAGCGGUACGCGAGCUGGGUUCAGAACGUCGUGAGACAGUUCGGUCCCUAUCCGUCGUGGGCGUAGGAAAUUUGAGAGGAGCUGUCCUUAGUACGAGAGGACCGGGAUGGACAUACCUCUGGUGUACCAGUUGUCGUGCCAACGGCAUAGCUGGGUAGCUAUGUAUGGACGGGAUAAGUGCUGAAAGCAUCUAAGCAUGAAGCCCCCCUCAAGAUGAGAUUUCCCAACUUCGGUUAUAAGAUCCCUCGAAGAUGACGAGGUUAAUAGGUUCGAGGUGGAAGCGUGGUGACACGUGGAGCUGACGAAUACUAAUCGAUCGAAGACUUAAUCAAUUUUUAAA